rnacentral:tRNA from 1 species
GAGGGUAUAGUUCAGUGGAGUUCAGAGGCAGGGCCCGUGCUUGGAAUGCAUGAGGUCCUGGGUUCAAUCCCCAGUACUUCCA